GCGAGCGCACCGCGCGCCCCGGCCGGAGCCCCGCACCGCGGCGCGUCUACCCUUGUGCGGUGGCGGCUGCAGCGGCGCUGGCUGGCUGGCCGCCCGGCUGACUCCUCACUGGGGCUUCCUGUAGGGCUGGACAAAGGACAUUUCCUGGGAGGAGCGGAGAGCGUUCCCAGCAUGCCUCGAUUUGUAGUUCCCGGGGACUUCCUGCCACUGCGGCGGCGGGCGGCCCUGAGCCAUUGACAUCCUGCUUGGGCGGAUUAAAGAACUUGACUGCCCACCAGGAAUUCAGGUUCCUUAAGAUCUUGGCGCUUCGUCCUUAAAACCAUACAGAGCUGAUUGUUUCCAGAUCCCGACCCGGUGACAUUCGUCCCUCCAUUGUUGGCCUGGUCCCAAGCAUCUUUUCAAGACAAGCAAUUAAAUUGAGAUUGAAAAUAAAUUCCGUAAAUUAAAUAUUAGACGUGAAAA